rnacentral:rRNA from 1 species
GAUGAACGCUGGCGGCGUGCUUAACACAUGCAAGUCGAACGAUGAAGCCCAGCUUGCUGGGUGGAUUAGUGGCGAACGGGUGAGUAACACGUGAGUAACCUGCCCUUAACUCUGGGAUAAGCCUGGGAAACUGGGUCUAAUACCGGAUAGGAGCGUCCACCGCAUGGUGGGUGUUGGAAAGAUUUAUCGGUUUUGGAUGGACUCGCGGCCUAUCAGCUUGUUGGUGAGGUAAUGGCUCACCAAGGCGACGACGGGUAGCCGGCCUGAGAGGGUGACCGGCCACACGGGGACUGAGACACGGCCCAGACCCCUACGGGGGGGAGGAGGGGGGAAUAUUGCACAAGGGGGGCAAGCCUGAUGCAGCGGCGCCGGGGGGGGGAUGACGGCCUUGGGGUUGUAACCCUCUUUCAGUAGGGAAGAAGCGAAAGUGACGGUACCGGCAGAAGAAGCACCGGCUAACUACGU